GCCAUUCACCAGGGGAGUCCCGACAAGGGGCUGAGAUACUGCUUCAGGCAUCGCCAAGCGCAGUGACCCGUUGAACCUGAUCCAGUUCACACUGGCGUAGGGACGGUGCAAAGGUUGUCGC
rnacentral:ncRNA from 2 species